rnacentral:tRNA from 1 species
AGGCUCAUAACUCAGUUGGUAGAGUUCCUGUCUUACAAACAGGCUGUCAUCGGUUC